rnacentral:rRNA from 1 species
UGCAGAAUCCCGUGAAUCAUCGAAACUUCGAACGCAUCUUGCGCUCCCGGGAUAUGCCUGGGAGCAUGCUUGUCGGGGAGGAGGAGGC